UACGAAGGGUGCAAGCGUUAUUCGGAAUCAUUGGGCGUAAAGCGCGCGCAGGCGGAUUAAUAAGUCAGGUGUGAAAUCUCGAGGCUCAACCUCGAAACUGCGCCUGAAACUAUUAGUCUAGAGUGUCGGAGGGGGCAGGGGAAUUUCACGUGUAGGGGUAAAAUCCGUAGAGAUGUGAAGGAACACCGGAGGCGAAGGCGCCUGCCUGGACGACUACUGACGCUGAGGCGCGAAAGCGUGGGGAGCAAACAGG
rnacentral:rRNA from 1 species